rnacentral:rRNA from 1 species
GGUAUUUGUUGCUAACUGGUCCUAUGGCCAUGUCGGUUAACAGAUCCUCAUUUGCUGGACUGCUGGCGAUGGCCUUUAUCGGUUGUCGUCAGUUGCCAGCACGUUUACUUUGAGAAAAUUAGAGUGCUAAAAGCAGGCUCAUGCCUAUAUAUAUUGCAUGGAAUAAUGAAAUAAGAUCUCGAUUUUAUUUCGUUGGUUUUAGAAAUUGAGAUA